rnacentral:lncRNA from 1 species
CAAUCCUGUCUUCAUGUAGCUCUCUUACCUAGCUCUGGCAUGGGUCAUCUGAUACCUUUCCUUCGACUUGCUGCCUCGUUUCUCCGCUGCCAUUGCCAACUCACUUUGAUCACCACAGACCCUGUGGUCUCCCUGGCUGAAUCUCAACUCAUCUCUCGUUUCCUUUCUGCGUUUCCUCCAGUUACUGAAAAGAAAUUUACACUCCUCCCUCUUGAUCCAGCCACGGCCAAUUCCACCGACCCUUUUACGCUCCAAUGGGAGACUAUUCGCCGGUCAGCACAUCUUCUGUCUCCUCUCAUCUCCUCUCUAUCUCCACCUCUCUCAUUUAUCGUCACUGAUAUAACCUUGAUGUCCUCUGUCAUUCCAAUCACUGCAAACCUGUGUCUCCCUAACUACAUGCUCUUCACAUCGUCAGCCAGAAUGUUCUCCCUUUUGGCAUACUUCCCUUCAACCAAGACUGCUGAUGGUUCUUUUCAGUUUGGCAAUGUCAUUGAAAUUCCAGGCAUUCCACCAAUACCCAGAUCAUCACUGCCUCCUGUACUUUUAAACUCAAACAGUCUAUUUGCUAAAAAUUUUUCAGAAAACAGUCAGACGAUCACUAAAUUGAACGGGGUUUUGAUCAACACCUUUGAAGGGCUAGAAAAACAAGCUCUAGAUGUGCUUAAUAGUGCAAAAGGGUUGCCGACAGUGUUCCCUAUCGGACCUCUUCUGCGCUGUGAGUUUGAGGGAGCAGAAUCUCUUGCCACUUUGAAGUGGCUUGACAAUCAAAAGGAAGGGUCGGUACUAUAUGUUGGCUUCGGAAGUAGGACAGCCACGUCAAAGGAGCAAAUAAGAGAGAUCGGGAUGGGGCUACUCUUGAGUGGAUGUAAAUUCUUGUGGGUGGUGAGGACUAAGAUACUUGACAAAGAGGAAGAAGAGGGUUUGGAUGAGAUACUGGGGUAUGAACUAAUGCAGAGGAUCAAGAGUAGUAAUAAUGGUUUGGUCGUAAAAGAAUGGGUGAAUCAAUUUGAAAUACUAAGUCACAAGGCUGUGGGUGGUUUCCUGAGCCAUUGCGGGUGGAAUUCGGUGGUGGAGGCUGCCCUGAAUGGAGUGCCUAUGCUGGCAUGUCCACAACGUCAGUUUGGGGAUCAGAGGAUUAAUCUAGAGGUGGUUGAAGCCGCGGGAUGGGUCCUGUGUGUGAAGAGUUCGGGGUGGGGUGAGGAUGUUUUGUUGAAGGGAGAGGAGAUUGGGGAGAAAAUUAAAGAACUCAUGGCCAGUGAAUCAGUAAAACUGGAAGCCGCAAGAAUUGGUCAAGAGGCAAGGAAGGCCGCUGGGGUUGGUGGAAGUUGCGAGGAUUCGCUCAAGAAACUUUUGCAGAGCUGGAACAAGGCGCACUGAGAGAUUCAUGGAUUCAUUUCUCUGACAGUUAGCAGCUUCGUGCCAGCUAUUCUCUGUUUAGUGUUCUCAUAUAUGUUUUAUUACCACUUGUUUGUGCCAUAUGUAGUCUUGUUGUAGGUUGCAACUGGCUUUGUUUUACCGGCAGGUGGCCAUUCCGACAACAGCUGUUUAUAAUCCAAUUAAUAAGAUAUUAUUUCUAUGGCAAUCAAAAUCUCUCAGACGCGACCUCGAUUUCCUCUCUCUCUCUCUCUCACCCUCAUUCCAGUCACCUGAAAUCUGUCUCCCUACCUUCAUUUUCCAUUACUGUACGUUUCCAGGGCUGAUGAUGGUUCUUUACAGUUCGGUGAUGUGAUCUAUGUUCCAGGCAUUGAUCCAUUACUACCAAGAUCAUCACCUGCUCCACCACUGUUAAACUCGAACAGUCAUUGCAAAAGUUUUCUGAGAAGACAGUCCCAAUCUCUUGAAACUCAAUGGGGUGCUGCUGCUCAACACGUUUGAAGGGCUGGAAAAUUAAAAUUAUUGCAAAAGUUUUCAAGGCUAUGCUUGAAGGAUGAAUGACUCAUGGCAGGUGGCUGGAGUGUGAUGUGCUCAUUAAAAGUAAAUUUCUGGACAAAUUGCACAAAUUACGGACAAAAAGAGAACACUCUUGAACUUUAUUUUGUUUUUAUCAAUCCAUCUUGUGAAGAAUCUAUUGGAGCAUUGAAACAGGAGUUUGCUUUAGAUUUAUUAGGUGAAGGAUCAAUGUGCUGCAUAUUUUCAACUAGAUUUCUGUCCUUCCCCAACCUGCCCUUCUUUCACAGUGCGCUGCUGCUGGUUUUGACCAUGGAGCAGUCUUUCUCUCUCUUGUUUUCUUCUCUAUAGCCUCAAAUCUGUCAGUAAGUAGUAUGUUCCUUUCUGUUUGGUUGGAAGGAAAAGAAAAGAGAGAAAGUACAGGGGGAACCAUAGCCAAGGUGGUGAUAAGCUCUAGACAUGCAGGAUAUGGUGGGGGAAAAAAGGGUGUAAAUAACGUCUGACCCAUUCAUACUUAACCCAAAUUGAGUUAUUUGUCGACCUAUCCAGGACAGCUUUAUAUUUGGAUUUCUUCACAACUAGGUGGAGAGGAAAGAGAGUGCUGGCUUUCAUGAGCUUAAGUCAGCUAUGCUUAUUUUCAGUUCUGUAAGAAUUUUUGUUGUACGUUUUUUGUAUGCUUGAAAGUUAAAAACUGUGUCUCCAUUCGGUACUAGCAGAUCCGUAACACGUUCCAACUACUUAAGGCUGUGCAAGGUAAACGUAAAUAUAAUAAUCUCCAUUUUCCCUGUGAUGAUUCAAGAAAGUUGGUUAUAUUUUAUUGUCCUUGGAUUAGAGAAUCAAAGGACAUAAUAAUAAUCCCACGUUAUAAGAAGAAACGAUGAAUACCCACUCUCUCCACUAAUCCAAGCUACAGCUUUGCAAUUUCCGUACUCUGUAAAGAUGUCGAACUCCUAUGUUAUCCAAUCCUGUCUUCAUGUAGCUCUCUUACCUAGCUCUGGCAUGGGUCAUCUGAUACCUUUCCUUCUACUUGCUGCCUCGUUUCUCCGCUACCAUUGUCAACUCACUUUGAUCACCUCAGACCCUGUGGUCCCCCUGGCUGAAUCUCAACUCAUCUCUCGUUUCCUCUCUACCUUUUCUAAAGUUACUGAAAAGAAGUCUACUCUCCUCCCUCUUGAUCCAGCCACGACCAAUUCCGCUGACCCUUUUACACUGCAGUGGGAAAAGUAUUCGCCGGUCAGCACAUCUUCUCUCUCCUCUCAUCUCCUCGCUAUCUCCACCUCUCUCAUUUAUCGUCACCGAUAUAUCCUUGCAGUCCUCUAUCAUUCCAAUCACUGCAAACCUGUGACGCCCUAACUACAUACUCUUCGUGUCAUCAGCCAGAAUGUUCUCCUUUUUGGCAUACUUUCCUUCAACCAAGACUGAUGAUGGUCCUUUUCAAUUUGGCAAUGCCAUUGAAAUUCCUAGCAUUCCAGCAAUACCCAGAUCAUCACUGCCUCCUGUACUUUUAAACUCAAACAGUCUAUUUGCCAAAAAAAUUUCAGAAAACAGUCAGACCAUUACUAAAGUGAACGGGGUUUUGAUCAACAAAUAUGAAGGGCUAGAAAAAUAAGUUCUAGAUAUGCUUAAUAGUGCAAAAGGGUUGCCGCCAGUGUUCCCCGUUGGACCUCUUCUGCCCUGUGAGUUCGAGGGACCAGAAUCUCUCGCCACUUUGAAGUGGCUUGAGGAUCAAUAGAAAGGGCCAGUACUAUAUGUUGUAGGACAGCCACGUCAAAGGAGCAAAUAAGAGAGAUAGCGAUGGGACUAGUCGUGAGUGGGUGUAAACUGUUGCGGCUGGCGAGGACUAAAAUAGUUGACAAAGAGGAAGAAGAAGGUUUGGACAAGAUACUGGAGCAUGAACUCAUGCAGAGGAUCAAGAGUAGUAAUAACGGUUUGGUCGUAAAAGAAUGGGUGAAUCAAUGUGAAAUACUAAGUCAUAAGGCUGUGGGUUGGUUCAUGAGCCAUUGCGGGUGGAAUUAGGUGGUGGAGGCUGCCUUGAAUGGUGUGCCUUUGCUGGCAUGUCCAAAACGUAUGUUCGGGGAUCAGAGGAUUGAUGUGAAGGUGAUUGAAGCGCUCGGAUGGGGCCUGUGUGUGAAGAGAUGGGGGUGGGGUGAGGAUGUUGUGUCGAAAGGAGAGGAGAUCGGUGAGAAAAUCAAACAACUUGUGGCGAGUGAAUAAUUAAAACUGGGAGCUGCAACAAUCAGUCAAGCGGCAAGGAAGGCUUUAUGUUCUCGUUUCUUUUCCCCUCUUUUUAUUAAAAGAUCUUCAAUUUUUUUUUCAUUAUCUAAUUGAAUUAUUUAUCUUUUGAUUUUUUUUAAACUUUGUGUUUUUUCAUUCUUUUUUAAUUUUCUUCUUUUUUCAAGAUUUUUUAAUUUUUUUCCACGUUAUGCUAACUUUUUAAAAAUAUUUCUUAGAUUAAACAAUCGUUAAUUUUUAUUUAAUAGUAAAUAAAAGUUUUUAUUUAAAAAAAAUAAAUUAUACAAUUAAUCUAUAUACUCUGAUAAAGUGAUGGAUUUAGUUUUUGCAUAAUCAUUUGUAAAUUUUAAAUAUAUGCACAUUUUAAAAUUGACAAUAACAAUUCAAUAAUUAUCAAUAUUAAAUUUUUUUUAUUAUAUUUGCUGNAUAAUUUAAAUUUUUUUAUGUAUUAUGCUGAUUAUAUAACGUUGAAUAUGAUGUAUCAAUGAUGAUAUAAUAUUUUUCAAUACUCUUUUUACUACUUUAAUUUAUGAAGUACAAAAAUUUAAUUUUUCUUUAUUUCAUUAUAUUCUUAUCCUAAAUCAUAAAAGCCUAUUCAUAUUUUGAUCUAUUUCUUUUUUAAUUCUAUUUAAAAUUAUUAAUUCACGUUAAAUAAUUUUAUGUCCAUACUUAUAAAAUUCGUUUUAAUGCUUAAUCAGGUCCUGGGAACACUACUAUUAGACUGUGCCUCCGUUCAGGCGGUGUAAGGUAAAAGUAAAUAUAAGAGUCACCAUUUUCACCGUUAUGGCUUUAUUUUACUGUGCUGGGGUUAGAAAAAAAUAAGGAGCCUAUAAAAAUCCCACUUUAUGAGAAAAGAUAAACACCCACUCUCUUCCACUCAUCUAAGCUACAGCAUUGCAAUCACAGUACGCCCUAGAACAUGUCAAACGCCGAUCUUAUCCACACCCGUAUUCAUGUAGCUCUCUUCCCUAGCUCUGGCAUGGGUCACCUGACACCUUUCCUUCGAUUUGCUGCCGCGCUUCUCCGCUGCCAUUGUCAACUCACUUUGAUCACCACAGACCCUGUGGUCUCCCUGGCUGAAUCUCAACUCAUCUCUCGUUUCCUCUCUGCCUUUCCUCAAGUUACUGAAAAGAAGAUUACUCUCCUC